rnacentral:rRNA from 1 species
ACGGAAGGCAGCAGUGGGGAAUAUUGCACAAUGGGGGAAACCCUGAUGUAGCGACGCCGCGUGAGUGAAGAAGUAUUUCGGUAUGUAAAGCUCUAUCAGCAGGGAAGAAAAUGACGGUACCUGACUAAGAAGCCCCGGCUAACUACGUGCCAGCAGCCGCGGUAAUACGUAGGGGGCAAGCGUUAUCCGGAAUUACUGGGUGUAAAGGGUGCGCAGGUGGUAAGGCAAGUCAGGAGUGAAAUGCCGGGGCUCAACCCCGGAACUGCUCUUGAAACUGUUUAACUGGAGUGCAGGAGAGGUAAGCGGAAUUCCUAGUGUAGCGGUGAAAUGCGUAGAUAUUAGGAGGAACACCAGUGGCGAAGGCGGCUUACUGGACUGUAACUGACACUGAGGCACGAAAGCGUGGGGAGCAAACAGGAUUAGAUACCCUGGUA